rnacentral:RNase_P_RNA from 1 species
GAAGACGCCCAGACCGCCGCUGGGGCAAGGCCCGAAAGGGUGCCCUGGAGGAAGGUCCGGACUGCAUAGAGCAGCGUAGGGGGUAACACCCCUCCACCGCGAGGUGCGGAUCAGAGCAACAGAGACGAGUUCGGCCGGGGAGAGAAGGCGCGGUGCAAGCUGCCACUUCUCGAAUCCUCGAGUGUUCUGUCGGCCCCGGCGCAAGCCGGGCGCGCCUUGCGCGAGCAGGGCUUCGGGCGCAAGCCCGAAUCCGACAGCACAUCGGAUGGGGCGAGCGCGCAAGCGCUCGGCGCGGCCGAGGUGAAACGGGCAAUCUCUACGCGCAGCAACACCAAGUAGGCCUGUAUUGAGGCGGCUCGCUGAGCAGGCGGGUAGGUGGCAUCGAGCCGGGGUGCGAGCCCCGGCCCAGAGGAAUGGCGGUCACGCCGGGCGAAAGCCCGGUGCACAGAAUCCGGCCCAUCGGGCGUCUUCACGA